rnacentral:rRNA from 1 species
UACGUAGGGUGCAAGCGUUGUCCGGAAUUAUUGGGCGUAAAGAGCUCGUAGGUGGUUUGUCGCGUUGUUCGUGAAAACUCACAGCUUAACUGUGGGCGUGCGGGCGAUACGGGCAGACUUGAGUACUGCAGGGGAGACUGGAAGUUCCUGGUGUAGCGGUGGAAUGCGCAGGAUAUCAGGAGGAACACCGGUGGCGAAGGCGGCCCGCUGGGCAGGAAGCGGAGCAAUCCGUCGGCUGACGCUGACGGCGCGACAGC